AAGGAUGUAGCUUAAUUGGUAAAGCCUUGGUCUUCAAAAUCAAAAAUUAAGGGUUCAAAUCCUUUCGUCCUUA
rfam:Candidatus Nasuia deltocephalinicola str. NAS-ALF, complete genome.